AGUCAUUCCUGGGUAAAGUUACUAUUUUUAUUUUUGAAAUAGGAAACCUCGGCACAUUUUUGGUUACAACUGUGAAACUGUAUGCAUGAUUAUGUGAGGGACUUGGGUAUCCAAAGCAUAGCCAUUGGGGCAUGGUAGUGUCAGUAUAUAAGGAUGAGGUUAUACCAGCUCAGGAUUCAAGGUUAGAGGAGAAGAGACAGUGGGGGUCAGGUGGCAGAACUAACUAACUGUAGCUCUGUUACACUGGCCUUAUUUGAAGAGUGGGAAGGUUUCAUUCUCCUCCCGCAGAGACCCCUGAGCCUCAGUGUUUAUUUAGACAAGGCUUCCAUGGUUUCCAUCUUCUCACAUAGGAUACCGCGCAGAAUGACCGGAGCAGGACAGUUGAAGCAAGUCAAAGGGAACCUUGAGGGUAACUACCAAACAUUCAGCAAACAUUUAGUUGGCACCUAUGAUGUCUACUUUCUCCCUUUUAUGUGUUAUGAAAUACAAAUGGCAGAAACAUAUUAAAGAUAAGUUUCAGUCUCUCAAAUUAGCUCAGAGAUAGAUCCACACGUAUAAAUAGACGCUCAUGCUUGAGAUUCAAGAGCUCUUAGAGCACAUCCUGUUAGAAAUAGAAGUGAGGAGAGGAGUCUACAGCUAACAAACUGCGCCAGGUUAGCACAUUUGGGGACAGACGUAAGUUACUCUAGGAAAUGCCCAGACAGUGGAGUAAGGAUAAUCUCUUCAACAAACAGUACUGGUAAAACUGGACAGAAGGAAAAGGGGGUGAACUGAUCAUUUUCUUUAUGGCAAUGUACAAUCUGAAGCUAAGUAUUAAAGUUUGAUAGGUGAUUGGAGCUCAUGGAACAAUGCUUGGAAGUCAGAAAAGCUUCCCUUUUGCUGAGGAGAGAGAUUCUGCAUCCUGCACAGAGCUCUCUGGUAUGACCUGGGAAAGCAGUACAAGAUGGCCCAAGUCCUUGGGCCCCUGCACCUGCGUGGGAGACCCAGAAGAAGCUCCUGGCUCCUGGCUUUGGAUUGGCAGAGCUCCGGCCGUUGUGGCCAACUGGAGAGUGAACCAUUGGAUGAAAGACCUCUCUCUCUCUGUGUAACUUUGA